GACGAACGCUGGCGCCGUGCUUAACACAUGCAAGUCGAACGGAAAGGCCCUGCUUUUGUGGGGUGCUCGAGUGGCGAACGGGUGAGUAACACGUGAGUAACCUGCCCUUGACUUUGGGAUAACUUCAGGAAACUGGGGCUAAUACCGGAUUGGAGCUCCUGCUGCAUGGUGGGGGUUGGAAAGUUUCGGCGGUUGGGGAUGGACUCGCGGCUUAUCAGCUUGUUGGUGGGGUAGUGGCUUACCAAGGCUUUGACGGGUAGCCGGCCUGAGAGGGUGACCGGCCACAUUGGGACUGAGAUACGGCCCAGACUCCUACGGGAGGCAGCAGUGGGGAAUAUUGCACAAUGGGCGGAAGCCUGAUGCAGCAACGCCGCGUGCGGGAUGACGGCCUUCGGGUUGUAAACCGCUUUCGCCUGUGACGAAGCGUGAGUGACGGUAAUGGGUAAAGAAGCACCGGCUAACUACGUG
rnacentral:rRNA from 1 species